rnacentral:misc_RNA from 1 species
AGUAAAAUAGUACGUGAAAUUGUUGAAAGGGAAACGAUUGAAGUCAGUCGUACCGACGAGAAAUCAGCUCUUCGAGUGCGAACUUGUGGGCGUGCGUGAGUCUUUAACGGGCCUCGCUGUUUGCAAUGUUUGUGCUUUUUGGGUGUACUUUUUCGUAUGGUAGGCCAACGUCAGUUUCGAUUACCAUAAAAUGAUCGGAGGAAUGUAGCUUCGAUCUCGUAUUGAAGUGUUAUAGCCUCUGGUAGAUGUGGUGACCGAAACUGAGGAUUGCAACGAAUACCCUUUGGGCUAUCCGUCUGACCUCUGAAAGUUGCUUAGGUGCCGAAAGCUUGCUUACGGUCAUUUAAGUUGACGGUCAAAAGGUUAGAACGUGAUUACAUUCGUUAAGGACGUUGGCGUAAUGGCUUUAAA